rnacentral:lncRNA from 1 species
UUUUUUUUUCCUAAAGGGAUGAUAUAGCUUUCUAUGGUAAAUUUUUUUAUUCAUUUAGAAUUCUUAGAGACUGUAAGAAGGGAUCUGGCAAUAGUUUUUCUAAUAAAGUUAGUCAAUUGUGCCAUCACUACCUCCUUACUAAUAAUUCUCUAUUUCUCCUUGGUUACUAAAUGCUGUGUGUAUGUAGGUCUCUACUGGGCUGAUGCCCCUUUCAUUAAUUUUGUGAUUUCCCCAUACUGGUUGUAUGCUGUUAUACUAUUUUAUAGUAAAAUUUAAUAAUCAAGAGAGCUAAUUCAUUUUACUAUUAUUAUCCAGUUCAUUACAUUUGCAUGUUUAUUCUUCUAUUUCAAUGCUAAGAUCAAGUCUGAAAAUGAACUGGUUUGAACAGAAAUUUUGUGAAUUAGUUUAUGCAGACAUCUUUAAAACAGUGAAUCUUUGUGUGCAAGAACACAGUACGACUUUUCAUUUAGUUUAGCCUUCUUUUAUGCCUGUGAUUGGGGUUCUUAUCCUUUGUUUUGUUUUUGUUUUUGUUUUUGUUUUUGUUUUUUGUAGACCUUGAACAUUGCCAACUAAUUGUAAUGAGACACCAUGGUGCAAUGUUUAUAAUCAAGGGCUCUGGAGCCAGACUGCUGGGACAACAAUUUGAGUACUUUCUCACCCUUGACUACACAAAUUGCAUCUCACUGUUUAAUCUCUAAAAUGGAAAUGGUGGGCCAGGAGAUAGAUCUCAGUUGGUAGAGUGCUCCCUUGGCAUGUGCAAGGCCCUGCAUACAGUCCCCAGUUCCUCUCAUGAAUUAAAAUAUAAGUGACAAGAUUUACAUUACAGGGUAGUUGGGAAAACUAACCAGAUUUUGUGAGAGACUUUAAAGAGAUUAUUUAUGGAAACCACUGUUUUUAGAAUGCUUAGUUCAAGCUCGACAUGGUGCUACACUGUGCCUUGCACUUGGGAGGCUGAGGAGGAUUCAAGGUCAUUCUGAACUACAUAGUGAGAUUGUCUUUAAAAGGAAAAACAAGCAAGUAAAAGAAAAGAAAGAGGGUGAGGCUGGAUCAUUAUAAACAAUAUAACACACGAAGAACUUCACAACCAUAACCAAAGGUUAACAACCAAUAGAAAACCUGUUAGCAGUUUUCAAUUGUACAGUAUUUGGAGGACAAUUCAGCAUUACCUAUCCUUUUUGUACAUUUACCCCUUUGACCCAGGAAUUCUAAAUUUAACUACAUUAAUUACCUGAAAGAGACACUGGAAUGAACACAAGAUUUGAUUUGCAGUGGGAUACUUUGGGGACUAUGCUCUGCAGUGCACACUCUCAGAAAGAGGCAGAAAUUCUACAGUUGUUUAUCUCAAUAAAUUUUACCUGAAGGUAGGGUAUACUACAGCUAGGACAAUGGUGUGCCUGGCAAAUAAUUGUUUUCCGUUACUUAGCAAGGGAAGUAGAUCUUUGCCAUUUGGGGCCACACAGUAUCCUUGUUUAAACAGACUAUUCUUUAAUGUGUUUAUGGCAAACAAUGGUUUAACUGUGAAAAUGGGACCAGUUCAUAAAAAUAUUAAUGCCUACUGUUCAAACCUGUCCCUAGCUGGCAGAUGAUUUCAUUUUUCUGUUUUUCUUGUUGCUGUGAUUUUUUUAAUGGAUAAGGGUUUAUUGUAGCUUUCAGUUCAAGAGUGUGGUCCAUUACAGCAGGGAAGUCAUGGUGGAAAGAACUUGAGGAGACAACUGGCCACAUUACCCGUGCAGCCAAGAGGCAAAGAACAGUGAAAUGUCCUGAUCAGCUAGCACCCUCCUUUUAUACAGUCCAGGACAGACCCAAGUUCAAGGCAUGGCACCUCUCUUCUUUAGGAUGUCUCACCACCUAAAGGAACCUAACCAAGAUUAUCCCUCCUUAGCCUGCCCAGGAGUUCACUGGAUAUCAAUAGUCCCUCAAGUGUGUGCCCAGGGACUUGUUUCCUAGAUGAUUUCAGACUCUUAGAGUGGACAAUAUUAAUCAUCACACUACCUCAUAAUACACUUGCACUAAAUAAUAUUUAAUAGAAAACAUUGAAGAUAACCUAGAUGUCUACUAAUUCACAGACUAGUUAGAUAUCUAACAACAAAAUACUUAUGAGUUAUCAGAAAGAAAAAGGCAGAAAUGAAAUUAUAUCUAUGAUGCAUUAAUUAUUAUACAUGUUUUGAAUAGUACAUAUAACACACAAGCAUGCCUGUAUAUUCAAGGAAAAUACACAAAAAUGUGCAUCAUAAAUCAUAUUUUGCUUCUGGAGAGUGAAAUGGUCUAGAAAGCACAAGACAUUCUCAAUAAACUUCCAUGCUUCUAAAUAUUUCAAUGUUGAAUUGUUAAUAAAAGGACUUUAAUUAGAAUUCAAAUAAGUUUGUCUUCAAUUUUCAGUAUUGAUUGACCUCACAAGAAAUGCAAGCAACAACUAAUCUAAUGGAUUAGAAAUCCAUUUGAAGUGAAGCUUGCUCACUAAGACUAUUAUACUGUAAAAGAUAAGGUCAUUUAUUUUGGUCAAUUCAUCCAGGGAAAAUUUGAUUCAAAUAAUGCUUAUCAGAGAAUGUCUACUGAGCAAUACUGUCUCUCGUCUUUCCUUUAGCUAUAGUAUUACCAUUGGAGUGUCUAAGGAUCAUUAAGGUGACUACUUGAUGCUGGGCUAUAUUAAGUUUGAAUGAAAGCCCAUUCAUUCCUCCUGUGUGAAGAACUAACAAUAGUCCUAUAGGAUGAGAUGCAAGAUACUAGAGUUUUAUCAGGUCCAAAUCUCAUGCAGUGAGUUCCAAGUAGCUCAGCAGUGAAAUUGAACACAGUGGGUUUAUGUUAGCAAGUGUGAAACCAAACAAGUACAGCUGCAACAUCAAGUACAGAGAUUGGUGUGGUGAUAUCUUGUUUGUACAAAUAAAGGGUGUCUGAAGAUCAGAGGGUGGAGCUUGCCACUUGCUAACAGACAGACAGGAAGUGAGAUGUCUGGGCAGAGACAGGAAGUGAGAUGGCUGGGCGGAGAGAGGAAUAUGAGCAAGAGGAAACAGGAACUCAUUCUCUUUUCAGCUGGGAAGUUGGCAAGGUAAGGUGCUCCUCCAUCUCUCUGAUCUCCAGGCAUGCUAUAUUUGUACAAUAAAGAUAUCACCACAGAUUGGUUUAUUGCCUUACCACAAAAAGAGAUUAUUUUGUUUCCAAAAUGAUGCCCUCUUUGAACAGAGGGAGCAUGGGGGUUUUAUUCAGGGAUCCUAUUCAUACUCAUACAAGAGCUGGCCAUUCCCAAGCAUGCCUAGUUAAGACUAUAAUUUAAGAGGAAGGGAUAGCUACAACUUAGGGCUUGCUUAUCUCAACAUCCUGAGGCACAUGUUUAAAAUAUUGAAGUGAGAGACAAAAAUGUAAGCAUACUCGGCUUGAAAAAUAAAAGUUUAGUUAAAGAUAAAGAACACUUGAAGAUGUAUCAGCAUAGAGUUCGGCCCUAAAUAUUGCCAUCUUGCACAGUGGCUAACAGAAGUAGGCUCUUGCAGAGUGGGUCUCUGGUCCCCUAACACUUUGUGUGGAAAUGCAGCCGUCAACACUCCAGCCUUCAUUUAGUAGCUCUCUCUCAACCUACAUCAGACAGGACUUGCCCUCUUUCUCCAAUCAUAUUCUCUCAACCCACAUGUCUCCUUGCUUUUUGCCAUCAGAACACAUAAGAGGGUCAAAACAAGGCUUCCUCACGAGGCUUCCUCCUGUGUGCCCCUUCAGGUUGGUUGUGAUGUUCCCUUCAUUGGAACAGCUUUCGGUGAAAGUUGUCAUCAAGGGUCCUCUUUCUCUUAGCCAUUGCCGCUGAUCCAAUUUGUAGAAACAUUGAAGCCUAGGUAUGGGCAGGUGAAGUGUACAAAUGAGCAGGCCUACACCGGCACAAUCCAAAAUGGCUUCCUUGAGGAGUUUCACCCUCAAGUAUAUCCUGCUAAAGACAAAAUAGCACAGUUUUUAUGAUGCACUUGCCUUUUCUGUUUCCCUGUAAUGGUGCUCAGAAUGCCUUCAGCUUUCCAUCACAUCUGCUUUUAAUCUAGGCAACAUCUUAAUAUUUCUUGGGAAUAUUGUUCUCUACUUGAUUUUGCUAUUGCUGGGGAGCCAGGACACUUCCUAGACUUAAUGGCAUUUGGAGCCUAAUAAUGAUCACUAACUCAAGUUGACCUCCAACUGGAUAUGAAGCCAUAUCCCAGGCUGUUGAGCAUUCCAGUGGUUCUCAUGGUGAGGUCCUGCCCCUUCUCUUGACCCUUGGCUAUAAGAAGUGCAUGAAGCCUCUAGCCUCUUUACCAACCGUGCAGUCUUCCUGAGGUAACUUAUUCCUGAAGAAACUCAGAACCAGGGUGAAAAGUGGAGUGCUACCUCUUCACAUGCACUAUAAAGACAUGCUUCUUGACUUUAAAGUUACUCAGUAUUUCUUGUUUUCAGAUAAGGGGUUUAUCACUGAUCCCAGGAGAAGCAAGAAUAAUCUCAUUUGGCAUCUCCAUUCUUUCUGGGAGUUCAUGAGCCCCACGCUUUCCCUUUGUCUGCUCAGUGCCAUCCUCUCUGUGUGCUGCCACUAGUUCUGAGCCUGUGUAUUCAUCAUGACUUUGCCUAGUACACAGCAAAUAAAAGAAGACUUAUUUGUAUCCUAUGUCCUUAGAAAUUUGGAUGCACAGGUGGGCUGGGGAAGUAGCGUCUGUGCUGCCUCUGCAGUCCCUCUCUACAUUCUGAGUCUUUCUACCAUAAUUACUCCCAUGCGACUGACUCAGUGCUCUGCUUGAUGACCUCAGGAAAACACUCAGUUUCUGGUAUUCUGGAUAAACAAAAAGCAAAUAGGUACAUUUCCUCUGAGCAGAAUAUAUUCCUAGCCAUCCAUACAAUGAAUAACUUUAGCUCGUUAUGAAAUUGAUUCAAACACUGUCAAAUUUUAGUCUCGAGGUAUGCUCCAAGAAGCUCAUACUCUCAGGGAGGCUAACUGUCAGAAACUGAGACACUGCCUUAAGUAAAUUCCUACUUUUGCAAGUGGUUUGAACCUGCAAACUUACAAGUUCUCUGCCAGUGUCACUUGACCCUGCAAAGGCUCUCUCUUGCUGGGAACAAACAGAGCAUGUUUCCCCCAAGCAUUAAGAGUUCACAAGCCCAGCUGGGCAUUGGUGGCCUUUAAUCCCAGCACUAGGGAGGCAGAGGCAGGCAGAUCUCUGUGAAUUCGAGGCCAGCCUGGUCUCCAGAGUGAGUUCCAGGAUAGGCUCCAAAGCUACACAGAGAAACCCUGUCUCG